CUGGACUUUAAGAAAGACAGAGAACCAAGAGCAAGUAUCCUGAAUGCUUUACUCAAAGACUCUUCAGUCUCUGCUCAGCUUUGGCCACACACACUCCUGUUUUUGAUGGUUGUCUUCUUGCUUUCUCUCCUUCCAGCAGAACAAAGUCUGAGUUUUCUGUUGGUAAGACAGGGGGAAUAGUAGCUGUCUCACUGGGUCAUUGUGAAAAUCAAAUGAAGGUUCUAGAGAUACACCCCACCAUGUACUGUCAUAUGGCUCAUUCUCAGUCGCCCCAGUUGACCCAGACUACAUUUUGUUUCCCAGCCACCAUGAUGUCACUCGGAGAUACUGCUUUUCUUCACAGCAUCUCUUGAGUAAAGCCCCUGGGCUGGUGGGACAUCCUCUUCUUGUUCCUGGGACCAGACAGGCCAGAUGGGGCAGGUGCAGGCCACCCCACUGCUGCUCCCAAGCCAUUGGGCCAGGAGACAUGGACCGGGUGGGACUGCUGAUUCCUGGGCUCCCCUAGAUGGUUGCAGUAGUGUCCCUGGUCCCUGGCUGUGAGGGGCCUGCAGCAGGGACAAAUUGCUCCUGCUCCCAUGGACAGCAACCUGGAUCCAAGCUUUGUCCAAAGAAUGAAGCUUGUAUCCACUGGGACCCCUGAACCGCAGGGAGCGAGGGCUUCAGAGGGAGCUAGUUCUUUUUUUUCCAGGUGUUAAUCUUUCUCCCUUUGCAUGGACUACAUCAACCAUAGCCCACUGGUGGAGGACAAGGACUCGGGAGCCAGGCUGCCUGGAAGCUCCGCAGAGAUUCUGCUGCAUCCCUACACCUGAGGAUCCCUGCUCCAGGGGCCUGAAUGCUUAUAGCAUUUCCGCCACUGAGGCACUGAUGGAUUUUUCCCUACCUGGUCCCCUUGUGGUUACUUUCUUUUAUGUUUACAGAUGGCAUUAUUGUUGCUUGUUUGUUUGUUUGUUUGUUUGUUUGUUUUUAAGUAGGUUCCGCGCUGGGCAUGGAGCCCAAUGUGGGGCCCGAACUCAUGAUGUUAAGAUCAAGACCUGAGUCUUGAUCAAGAUUCGGAUGCCUGGGGCCCCUGGGUGGCUCUGUCGGUUGAGUGUCUGCCUUCAGCUCAGGUCAUGAUCACAGGGCUUGGGAUCAUAGGGCUCGCUGCUCAGCAGGGAGCCUGUUUCUCCCUCUCCCUCUGCUGUUCCCCCUGCUUGUGCUCCCCCCCCCCCCCCACCUCGUCAAAUAAAUAAAUAGAGUCUUAAAAAAAAAAGUUGGAC
rnacentral:lncRNA from 1 species